GGCAGCCAGACAACAGCGAAAUACAUUGUGCCUCCUAUGGGGUGGAGGGAGAUUGCAGAAGGGCAAAAGUAAGAACAAGGGUGAGAACAAUGAUGCCGCCUGACCUGCUGAGUUCCUCCAGGACUUUUUGUGUAUUGCUCCGGAUUCCUGCAUCUGCAGAAUUUCUUGUGUCUCCUUGGAGUCUUGUGCCUGGCGGAGUAUGUGCAGAACUCCAGAAGCUGAAGACAUCCAAUCGACUGGCAGGUGGUGGUCAGCAAGAUUCAGCCCAACAUACAGUACUGCAGUUUUCUCACUUACCAGAUUUAAGAUGCAAAAUCGCAUCAUUGUUAACUUGCUCAAACUUUACAAAGUUUGCAUAAACUCUGAUUCAGAGAUCCAGACCACUUUCAAUAAGUAAAACUCAUACGCUAAAGAUGUAACUUUCUUUAAGUGCUAAUCUCUAUGAGCCAUUUUGGUGCCAAGUUAUUAGGAUUUCACUGACAGAAUGGUUUGCUGAAAUUGGAAACCAGACUGUUUAAAAUAAAGAUAAUUUAAAUCUUUGCAUCAA